AUGUGGAGGAUGAGGGCUGCAGUAGAUAACUCAGAUAGAGGGGAGUGAGGCCUAAGAGAGUUUUAUAAAUAGGCACCAACCACUGGGUCUUGCGACGGGUAUACAGAGAUGACCAGUUUACAAAGGAGCAUUGGUGGAAAAUCUGAUUGCCGAAUGGUAAAGAACAUCUAGCUGCUCGAGCGCACCCUUACCUGCCGAUCCAUAAAUUAAGUCUCCGUAAUCUAAAAUAGAUCAUCUACAAAAGCGAUCACAAGACCCCAGGGAAAAACAAAGGAGUAAGGUAAGUACAGAGGUAAUUGGCCAUGUUUAUCAUGCUACACAUGAUCACAGGUACAGACACACGCAUACGCAAACAAGCGCUAGCACACGCACUGUACACACACACAUACAUUGUAAUAUUGUUGUAUGGUGGUAUUAUACAUUUUGUAUUAUACAUGUUGUAUUGUAGAUAUGUAGCGGUGUAGUAAUGUUAUAUGAUGUACUGUUUUAUCUUUUGUUUUAUGUGUAAUGUAAGUGCCUAUAAUGUGUUUGGACCCCAGGAAGAGUAGCUGCAAGGCAGCAGCUAAUGGGGAUCCUCAAUAAAUACAAAUACACAAACUGUGCUGAGGUUGAGGAUCUUGAUGGGGUAGCUGAUAAUGACGAAGCGACAUCACUGUGAUACUGGGUAUGCAUGAGGAUAUUACAUUUGUGUCAGAUGUAUGCUUACAUCACAAUGAUAUAUCUGUGACGGUGGAUGUAUGUGAGGAAAAUGUGGUGUCAGACUCUAUCGAUCGUGGUUAUGCCGUUCAGGAAACCACUUGUGUUCCUGAACACAACUACAAUGUGAUGGAAUUACCCAGAACACUGAACCGCAACUUGAGGUCAGUAGGAGACAAACUGUAAACAUUUAUAAACAAGUUAAAAAUUGUAGAAGGAAAAAACACAUUUUCACUUUGUUACGUUUAGAUUUAUUGAAUGUGCACCAAUGACGGCAUCCUUUGUUCCACUGGUCUCUUUACCGCAUGUUAUGUUCUUAACUAACAUCGUCUUUGUCUGCUGACAACCCACUCAUUGUCGGUACCUUGACGCGGUGAGUGGGGUUCAAACCAAGACAGACCAUUCAUUUAUCAUUUCUUUCAAAUGCUCACAUAAUCACCUGUGUGUGUGUGUGUGCCCUUUCCCUCUCCCUUCUGCAGGUGUGACUGUCACAGCUGCAACAUAACUAUUCAACAUGACAGAGUGAGUAGUUAUUAGAAAUUGAGUGUGAAUUGAACUAUGAACUAUGAAUACUGCUCCAGUGUUAAUGUUAUUAUGUGCCAUGGAUGUGCUGUGUUUUGGUAGCUUUCAUUAUAUUCAGGUGACCUGACUCGGACGCAGUGGCAGCCCUACCCACCUGGUGGCCUGUAAUUGGCUGGUAUCUUAUCUGCAAUAAGAAUGGAGGCAACAGAGACAAUGGCAGGACGCCUCCCAGGAGGAAGCCCUGUAAAGAGGGACACAUUUUAUCCAUACUUCCUCAUUGGCGUGACUGUCAUGUAGCGUUUCUGUUCACAUGCCACUUAUCUGAGCUCCUCGUGUGUAUUCCAGUCUCAUGACACCCAAAGCAACACUGCCACCACUGCUGCACCUUCAGACAACCCUUCACUAGCUACUCACGUAAACAGGGAGGACCUUUUCAUAUUCCUUCAUUAGUGUGACAGCUAACAUUGUUAAUCACAUGCCAUUUAUCCUAUUCCACUUGUGUGUUCUAGGCUGCCUGUCGUGAUUUAUUUAAAAUUCAAUGAACACUUAACCAGCAUGGCUACCACAGCAUUAUGCAGCUAUAUGCCAUCCUAUCUGGUUUGCGUUUAGUGGGACUAUCAUUUGUUUUUCAACAGGACAAUGACCUAACACACCUCCAGUCUGUAACGGCUAUUUGACCAAGAAGGAGAGUGAUGGAGUGCUGCAAGAGAUGACCUGGCCUCCACAAUCACCCACCUCAACCCAAUUGAGAUGGUUUGGGAUGAGUUGGACUGCAGAGUGAAGGAAAAGAAGCCAAGAAGUGCUCAGCAUAUGUGGGAACUCCUUCAAGACUGUUAGAAAAGCAUUCUGGGUUCUGCUGGUUGAGAGAAUACCAAGAGUAUGCAAAGCUAUCAAGGCAAAUGGUAACUACUUAAAUAAUCUAAAAUCUAAAAUAUAUUUUGAUUUGUUUAACACUUUUUUUGGUUACUACAUGAUUCCAUAUGUGUUAUUUCAUAGUUGUGAUGUCUUCACUAUUAUUCUACAAUGUAGAAAAUAGUUUUUUUUAAAUGGAAAAACCCUUGAAUAAGUAGGUGUCCAAACGUUUGACUAGUACUGUAGAUUAAAAAAACUACCAGCCACUCAGAUUUGUUAUCCCCCUCCCCCCACACAAAACAAAAAGUUGAGUCUGC
ensembl:lncRNA